UACGGAGGGUGCAAGCGUUGCUCGGAAUCACUGGGCGUAAAGGGCGUGUAGGCGGUCUCGUAUGUCUGACGUGAAAGCCCCGGGCUCAACCCUGGAAUGCCGGUGGAAACUGUCGAGCUAGAGUCCGGAAGAGGCGAGUGGAAUUCCUGGUGUAGCGGUGAAAUGCGCAGAUAUCAGGAGGAACACCAAUGGCGAAGGCAGCUCGCUGGGACGGUACUGACGCUGAGACGCGAAAGCGUGGGGAGCAAACAGG
rnacentral:rRNA from 1 species